rnacentral:rRNA from 1 species
CCCUUAGAUGUUCUGGGCUGCACGCGCGCUACACUGAUGCACUCAACGAGUUUACGACCUUGCCCGAUAGGGUUGGGUAAUCUUUUUAAAAUGCAUCGUGAUGGGGAUAGAUUAUUGCAAUUAUUAAUCUUCAACGAGGAAUUCCUAGUAAGCGCGAGUCAUCAGCUCGUGCUGAUUGCGUCCCUGCCCUUUGUACACACCGCCCGUCGCUCCUACCGAUUGAGUGCUCAGGUGAAUAAUUCGGACUGCAGCAAUGUUUGGAUCCCGAACGUUGCAGCGGAAAGUUUAGUGAACCUUAUCACUUAGAGGAAGGAGAAGUCGUAACA